AUUGAACGCUGGCGGCAUGCUUUACACAUGCAAGUCGAGCGGCAGCGCGGGGGGCAACCCUGGCGGCGAGCGGCGAACGGGUGAGUAAUGUAUCGGAACGUACCUUUCAGUGGGGGAUAACGUAGCGAAAGUUACGCUAAUACCGCAUAUUCUGUGAGCAGGAAAGCAGGGGAUCGCAAGACCUUGCGCUGAUUGAGCGGCCGAUAUCAGAUUAGCUAGUUGGUGAGGUAAAGGCUCACCAAGGCGACGAUCUGUAGCGGGUCUGAGAGGAUGAUCCGCCACACUGGAACUGAGACACGGUCCAGACUCCUACGGGAGGCAGCAGUGGGGAAUUUUGGACAAUGGGGGCAACCCUGAUCCAGCCAUGCCGCGUGAGUGAAGAAGGCCUCGGUUGUAAGACUCUUCGUCCGGGAACGGAAAGUACGUAUGGUUAAGUACCUACGUGCGGAGUGACGGUACCGAGCAUAAGAAGACACCGGC
rnacentral:rRNA from 1 species